rnacentral:rRNA from 1 species
GACGAACGCUGGCGGCGUGCUUAACACAUGCAAGUCGAGCGGUAAGGCCCUUUCGGGGGUACACGAGCGGCGAACGGGUGAGUAACACGUGGGUGACCUGCCCUCAGCUCUGGGAUAAGCCUGGGAAACCGGGUCUAAUACUGGAUAUGACUCCAUGACGCAUGUUGUGGGGUGGAAAGCCUUGUGCGGCUGAGGAUGGGCCCGCGGCCUAUCAGCUUGUUGGUGGGGUGANGGCCUACCAAGGCGACGACGGGUAGCCGGCCUGAGAGGGCGACCGGCCACACUGGGACUGAGACACGGCCCACGACUCCUACGGGAGGGCAGCAGUGGGGAAUAUUGGACAAUGGGGGCGAACCCUCGAUCCAGCAAUGCCGCGUGAGUGAAGAA